rnacentral:rRNA from 1 species
UACGUAGGGUGCGAGCGUUGUCCGGAAUUACUGGGCGUAAAGAGCUCGUAGGUGGUUUGUCGCGUUGUUCGUGAAAACUCACAGCUUAACUGUGGGCGUGCGGGCGAUACGGGCAGACUGGAGUACUGCAGGGGAGACUGGAAUUCCUGGUGUAGCGGUGAAAUGCGCAGAUAUCAGGAGGAACACCGGUGGCGAAGGCGGGUCUCUGGGCCGAUACUGACGCUGGAGGAGCGAAAAGCGUGGGGAGCGAACAGG